rnacentral:lncRNA from 1 species
CAUAGAAACCCUUGUCGUAUUUCCCAAGGAUAUUGUCCACAUAAUGUGAUUGACUUAAUACAAGUCCAUUUGAUGUCCUUGUGAUUUUAAUCCCUACUAGGACAUCAGCAUGACCCAUAUCUUUCAUUUUAAAUUUGGAAUUUAACAACCAGGUGGAAGAUCCACCAGUUCCGAAAUGUGGUUUUGCCAAAUGGUGUCAAUUACACUCUUGAUAGCUCCUUUUCACAAAGGACAACUAGUACAGUUCACCACCUCUUUAACGAUAUGUGCUUCACCCAAUUCAAAGAGUUUUUUUUGUCCUUACCCAAACAAAGCAAGCGUACUCUCCUCUUUGGUAAAUGAUCCCUUACACAUUGAACACAUAAAAAGAAUUGUCACCUUAGCCAGACAUCCCCAUACUCGCAAGUAUUUAACUGAUGACUCUGGACAAUCUGUUUAAAAGUUACUACUCAAUCUUUUCGGUAAUUCCAAUCAAACACAACCAGG